UCUGGGUUUAUCCCAGCGGUCUCGUUAGAAAGAUUUAACUAACGACGAGGGUUGCGCUCGUUGCGGGACUUAACCCAGCACCUCACGGCACGAGCUGACGACAGCCAUGCAGCAUCUGUGCACGCUCUCUUGCGAGUCUCUCAGGUUUCCCUUUGGUACCACGUGCAUGUCAAGCCGAGGUAAGGUUCUGCGCGUUGCCUCGAAUUAAACCACACGCUCCGCUGCUUGUGCGGGCCCCCGCCUAUUCCUUUGAGUUUUAACCUUGCGGCCGUAGUCCCCAGGCGGUGAACUUAAUGCGUUAGCUGCGGCACUGAUCGGGUCAAUCCGACCAACACCUAGUUCACAACGUUUAGGGCGUGGACUAC
rnacentral:misc_RNA from 1 species